GACCAGACUCCUACGGGAGGCAGCAGUGGGGAAUAUUGCACAAUGGGGGAAACCCUGAUGCAGCGACGCCGCGUGAGUGAGGAAGUAUUUCGGUAUGUAAAGCUCUAUCAGCAGGGAAGAAAAUGACGGUACCUGACCAAGAAGCUCCGGCUAAAUACGUGCCAGCAGCCGCGGUAAUACGUAUGGAGCAAGCGUUAUCCGGAUUUACUGGGUGUAAAGGGAGCGUAGACGGCAUGGCAAGUCAGAUGUGAAAGCCCGGGGCUCAACCCCGGGACUGCAUUUGAAACUGUCAGGCUGGAGUGCAGGAGAGGUAAGUGGAAUUCCUAGUGUAGCGGUGAAAUGCGUAGAUAUUAGGAGGAACACCAGUGGCGAAGGCGGCUUACUGGACUGUAACUGACGUUGAGGCUCGAAAGCGUGGGGAGCAAACAGGAUUAGAUACCCUCGUAUC
rnacentral:rRNA from 1 species